GGUUAAGCGACUAAGCGUACACGGUGGAUGCCCGGCAGUCAGAGGCGAUGAAGGACGUGCUAAUCUGCGAUAAGCGUCGGUGAGGUGAUAUGAACCGUUAUAACCGGCGAUUUCCGAAUGGGGAAACCCAGUGUGUUUCGACACACUAUCAUUAACUGAAUCCAUAGGUUAAUGAGGCGAACCGGGGGAACUGAAACAUCUAAGUACCCCGAGGAAAAGAAAUCAACCGAGAUUCCCCCAGUAGCGGCGAGCGAACGGGGAGGAGCCCAGAGCCUGAAUCAGUGUGUGUGUUAGUGGAAGCGUCUGGAAAGGCGCGCGAUACAGGGUGACAGCCCCGUACACAAAAAUGCACAUAUUGUGAGCUCGAUGAGUAGGGCGGGACACGUGGUAUCCUGUCUGAAUAUGGGGGGACCAUCCUCCAAGGCUAAAUACUCCUGACUGACCGAUAGUGAACCAGUACCGUGAGGGAAAGGCGAAAAGAACCCCGGCGAGGGGAGUGAAAAAGAACCUGAAACCGUGUACGUACAAGCAGUGGGAGCCUCUUUAUGGGGUGACUGCGUACCUUUUGUAUAAUGGGUCAGCGACUUAUAUUCUGUAGCAAGGUUAACCGAAUAGGGGAGCCGAAGGGAAACCGAGUCUUAACUGGGCGUUAAGUUGCAGGGUAUAGACCCGAAACCCGGUGAUCUAGCCAUGGGCAGGUUGAAGGUUGGGUAACACUAACUGGAGGACCGAACCGACUAAUGUUGAAAAAUUAGCGGAUGACUUGUGGCUGGGGGUGAAAGGCCAAUCAAACCGGGAGAUAGCUGGUUCUCCCCGAAAGCUAUUUAGGUAGCGCCUCGUGAAUUCAUCUCCGGGGGUAGAGCACUGUUUCGGCAAGGGGGUCAUCCCGACUUACCAACCCGAUGCAAACUGCGAAUACCGGAGAAUGUUAUCACGGGAGACACACGGCGGGUGCUAACGUCCGUCGUGAAGAGGGAAACAACCCAGACCGCCAGCUAAGGUCCCAAAGUCAUGGUUAAGUGGGAAACGAUGUGGGAAGGCCCAGACAGCCAGGAUGUUGGCUUAGAAGCAGCCAUCAUUUAAAGAAAGCGUAAUAGCUCACUGGUCGAGUCGGCCUGCGCGGAAGAUGUAACGGGGCUAAACCAUGCACCGAAGCUGCGGCAGCGACACUAUGUGUUGUUGGGUAGGGGAGCGUUCUGUAAGCCUGUGAAGGUGGCCUGUGAGGGUUGCUGGAGGUAUCAGAAGUGCGAAUGCUGACAUAAGUAACGAUAAAGCGGGUGAAAAGCCCGCUCGCCGGAAGACCAAGGGUUCCUGUCCAACGUUAAUCGGGGCAGGGUGAGUCGACCCCUAAGGCGAGGCCGAAAGGCGUAGUCGAUGGGAAACAGGUUAAUAUUCCUGUACUUGGUGUUACUGCGAAGGGGGGACGGAGAAGGCUAUGUUGGCCGGGCGACGGUUGUCCCGGUUUAAGCGUGUAGGCUGGUUUUCCAGGCAAAUCCGGAAAACCAAGGCUGAGGCGUGAUGACGAGGCACUACGGUGCUGAAGCGACAAAUGCCCUGCUUCCAGGAAAAGCCUCUAAGCAUCAGGUAACAUCAAAUCGUACCCCAAACCGACACAGGUGGUCAGGUAGAGAAUACCAAGGCGCUUGAGAGAACUCGGGUGAAGGAACUAGGCAAAAUGGUGCCGUAACUUCGGGAGAAGGCACGCUGAUAUGUAGGUGAAGCGACUUGCUCGUGGAGCUGAAAUCAGUCGAAGAUACCAGCUGGCUGCAACUGUUUAUUAAAAACACAGCACUGUGCAAACACGAAAGUGGACGUAUACGGUGUGACGCCUGCCCGGUGCCGGAAGGUUAAUUGAUGGGGUUAGCGGUAACGCGAAGCUCUUGAUCGAAGCCCCGGUAAACGGCGGCCGUAACUAUAACGGUCCUAAGGUAGCGAAAUUCCUUGUCGGGUAAGUUCCGACCUGCACGAAUGGCGUAAUGAUGGCCAGGCUGUCUCCACCCGAGACUCAGUGAAAUUGAACUCGCUGUGAAGAUGCAGUGUACCCGCGGCAAGACGGAAAGACCCCGUGAACCUUUACUAUAGCUUGACACUGAACAUUGAGCCUUGAUGUGUAGGAUAGGUGGGAGGCUUUGAAGUGUGGACGCCAGUCUGCAUGGAGCCGACCUUGAAAUACCACCCUUUAAUGUUUGAUGUUCUAACGUUGGCCCGUAAUCCGGGUUGCGGACAGUGUCUGGUGGGUAGUUUGACUGGGGCGGUCUCCUCCUAAAGAGUAACGGAGGAGCACGAAGGUUGGCUAAUCCUGGUCGGACAUCAGGAGGUUAGUGCAAUGGCAUAAGCCAGCUUGACUGCGAGCGUGACGGCGCGAGCAGGUGCGAAAGCAGGUCAUAGUGAUCCGGUGGUUCUGAAUGGAAGGGCCAUCGCUCAACGGAUAAAAGGUACUCCGGGGAUAACAGGCUGAUACCGCCCAAGAGUUCAUAUCGACGGCGGUGUUUGGCACCUCGAUGUCGGCUCAUCACAUCCUGGGGCUGAAGUAGGUCCCAAGGGUAUGGCUGUUCGCCAUUUAAAGUGGUACGCGAGCUGGGUUUAGAACGUCGUGAGACAGUUCGGUCCCUAUCUGCCGUGGGCGCUGGAGAACUGAGGGGGGCUGCUCCUAGUACGAGAGGACCGGAGUGGACGCAUCACUGGUGUUCGGGUUGUCAUGCCAAUGGCACUGCCCGGUAGCUAAAUGCGGAAGAGAUAAGUGCUGAAAGCAUCUAAGCACGAAACUUGCCCCGAGAUGAGUUCUCCCUGAGACUUAGAGUCUCCUGAAGGAACGUUGAAGACGACGACGUUGAUAGGCCGGGUGUGUAAGCGCAGCGAUGCGUUGAGCUAACCGGUACUAAUGAACCGUGAGGCUUAACCUU
rnacentral:rRNA from 1 species